rnacentral:rRNA from 1 species
UACGUAGGGUCCGAGCGUUGUCCGGAAUUACUGGGCGUAAAGAGCUCGUAGGUGGUUUGUCGCGUUGUUCGUGAAAACUCACAGCUCAACUGUGGGCGUGCGGGCGAUACGGGCAGACUAGAGUACUGCAGGGGAGACUGGAAUUCCUGGUGUAGCGGUGGAAUGCGCAGAUAUCAGGAGGAACACCCGUGGCGAAGGCGGUUCUCUGGGACGGUACUGACGCUGAGACGCGAAAGCGUGGGGAGCGAACAGG